UUCAUGCCGCCUAUCUGAUUUCAUACCCUUCCUUUUCUUCUUGAAUAAUCUACCUCCCUCCCCCCCCCCCCCAACUUCUAUGGUCUCUCCAGGAAAGAAUACAACUCGAGAAAUCACGCUUACACAGGCGGGCCAGGGUGAAUCCAUUGGCAGGUUCUUAAAAGGGUGAGGAGGUUCUAGAAGAUGCAUAUGCUUCUAGUGCAAGCAAGCAACUUCCCGAUGUUUCUUUGGCAAAGAGAAGCAAGCGAUCAAAGCGAAAGGGCGCUGUAUAACAAGGAAUGUAUACUGAUAUUGUUUUAAUUUGAGACGUGCUGGUCACAUGGGGAGAGGCAAGACAAUACAAUAGCAAGUCGAAAGGAGAGGUACUAUUGGCCACAACUAAAGAGAGAUGCUGGCAAUUUCGUGAAAAGGUGUUGCAGUUGUCAAACGUCAGAAGAAAAGUAUUAUCGAUGUCCUAUUGCCCUUGUAUAGAGAAGUUGAGUAAAUUGCAUUUUGAGCAUUCCUUGUCAUCACUGGAUAAUGAGGAAACCUUGGUGAGACUGUGACGAGCCUAUCGACCUAUACAGGUUACAGGGAGGAAGAAGUAACCCGAGAUACCUGUAGUUAUCCUGCCACAUCAACUGAUUGAAUACCUUCUGAUAUUGAAUCAAUAGUUGAGAUUGGACAUGAUUAAUAUAUGUCAUUAGUUUGUUUCAUUAUAAGCACUCACUGGGUUGAUCCAGGGUCUAACUUGAAGAAGAUCAGUCGGUUUUUUAUUAUUGUAUUGUAAAUUUCUGUAGUGCUCCAUGGAUGGGAAUUUUGGCAUAUUAGAUGAUUGAGGUGCAUGUAGUUCAUCAUCAAUUUGUGUUUGAAA